rnacentral:rRNA from 1 species
CGAAAGCCUGACGGAGCAAUACCGCGUGAGGGAAGAAGGCUUUUGGGUUGUAAACCUCUUUUGUCAGGGAAGAAGAAUUGACGGUACCUGAAGAAAAAGCAUCGGCUAACUCCGUGCCAGCAGCCGCGGUAAUACGGAGGAUGCAAGCGUUAUCCGGAAUCAUUGGGCGUAAAGGGUCCGCAGGUGGCGAAUAAAGUCUGCUGUUAAAGACCGGGGCUUAACUCCGGAAAGGCAGUGGAAACUGAUUAGCUAGAGUACGGUAGGGGUAGAGGGAAUUCCCAGUGUAGCAGUGAAAUGCGUAGAUAUUGGGAAGAACACCGGUGGCGAAAGCGCUCUACUAGGCCGAAACUGACACUGAGGGACGAAAGCUAGGGUAGCGAAAGGGAUUAGAUACCCCUGUAGUCUUAGCGGUAAACGAUGGAUACUAGGUGUAGCUUGUAUCGACCCGAGCUGUGCCGAAGCUAACGCGAUAAGUAUCCCGCCUGGGGAGUACGCACGCAAGUGUGAAACUCAAAGGAAUUGACGGGGGCCCGCACAAGCGGUGGAGUAUGUGGUUUAAUUCGAUGCAACGCGAAGAACCUUACCAGGGCUUGACAUGUCGCGAAUCUAGCGGAAACGUUAGAGUGCCUUAGGGAAUGCGAACACAGGUGGUGCAUGGCUGUCGUCAGCUCGUGUCGUGAGAUGUUGGGUUAAGUCCCGCAACGAGCGCAACCCUCGUCCUUAGUUGCCAAUAUUAAGUUAGGCACUCUAGGGAGACUGCCGGGGACAACUCGGAGGAAGGUGGGGAUGACGUCAAGUCAGCAUGCCCCUUACGUCCUGGGCUACACACGUACUACAAUGGUUGGGACAAAGGGCAGCAAGCUCGCGAGAGUAAGCGAAUCUCAUCAAACCCAGCCACAGUUCAGAUUGCAGGCUGCAACUCGCCUGCAUGAAGUAGGAAUCGCUAGUAAUCGCAGGUCAGCAUACUGCGGUGAAUUCGUUCCCGGGCCUUGUACACACCGCCCGUCACACCAUGGAAGCUGGCUACGCCCGAAGUCGUUACCCUAACCCGGUUUUGGGAGGGGGAUGCCGAAGGUAGAGCUAGUGACUGGGGUGAAGUCGUAACAAGGUAGCCGUACCGGAAGGUGUGGCUGGAUCACCUCCUUU